AGAGUUUGAUCAUGGCUCAGGAUGAACGCUAGCUACAGGCUUAACACAUGCAAGUCGAGGGGCAGCAUGAGAUUAGCUUGCUAAUCUUGAUGGCGACCGGCGCACGGGUGAGUAACGCGUAUCCAACCUUCCCCUUAGUAGGGCAUAGCCCGGCGAAAGUCGGAUUAAUACCCUAUGUUCUUCGUAGAGGACAUCUGAAAUGAAGCAAAGACUUGUCGCUAAGGGAUGGGGAUGCGUCUGAUUAGGUUGUUGGCGGGGUAACGGCCCACCAAGCCGACGAUCAGUAGGGGUUCUGAGAGGAAGGUCCCCCACAUUGGAACUGAGCCAGGAUCAAACUC
rnacentral:rRNA from 1 species